UUCUCCACCACCACAAGCAGGUCCAUGAUCCUCUCCUGCAUCUCCCGACUCGUCUUAUAAAGUUUCUGUCAAGAAAGGAAAGAAGUUUCUUCUUCCAUGUUAAGAAUGCUCUAUAAAACAACUGACUCUCCAGUCUGGGUACAUUUGAAAUCACCUCCACACUGAUUCACCUGCAGGAGACCACCAAGGAAUUCAACUGUGGCAGCUCAUCUUCCCUGUUGGAAGCCAAGACAGAUGGAAUGGAAACAUGAAAGAGGCAGCCCAUCUCUCGGCAGGCUUGCAAAGCAGAAUGUGAAAACCCUCUUCAAAAGCCAGCCCACUCUUAUCUUUGCAAUUGAUGUCUGUCUCAGAGGAGGACCACGCCACCUGGAAACAGUGCAGAUCAAGCACCCGGGACAAAAAGGAUGGGUCAGAGUUCCCCACAGCAGGGUCUCACUAUGUAGCCCAGGCUGAUCUGAAACUCCUGGGCUCAAGCAAUCAUGCUGUUUGAGCUUCUAAGUGCUGAGACUACAGGUGUGUCACGAUGCCUAGCUAAAAUUAGAAUGUGGUAAGGAUGAAAAGCUGAACAACAAAUACCAUGACAACCAAGUUUCAGGGCUAUAAGAGCUGAAGACCAUGCGGAGACCACCCACACCGACCAUGCCGAAGUGUGGCUACCUUUACUCUCCUAUGACACUCCUAGGAGAGAGCUCAAUCCUCCUCCUCCUCAUAACUGCAACAAGCCCCUUCAAGGGCAUUUCACACCUCUCAAGGACCACUGAAGCUCACCACUUAGUGGGUACUCUACAAAAGCCUAAUAAUUCAUUGAUUCUCAGAAACUUGUUUCACCACUUUGCAUUUAACAAUGAUAGUAGUAUCUUGCUGAGAUGUGGCACAAUGACUCAUUCAAGCAAAGGACAGUCUCUGGCACAGAGCAAUAAAGCCUAGUAGCAGUGUUUUUUAAAAAACAAAACUACUAACUUCUUGGGCUGGGGUGUGGCUCAGUGACAGAAGCAGAGCACUCACCUAACAUGCACAAG